ACCAAUUCUGGAGGAUUUAUACAGUUCCUCACGGUGUAAUGGCUCGGACGCCAAAUCAGUAUCUGUGGCCAUCCUGAUAAAUGGAUUCUUCAAUGCCAUUUCAUCGUGGAAACACCUCAUACAUUC